rnacentral:tRNA from 1 species
UCGGAUAUGGUGUAAUGGCUAACAUUACCGCCUCUCACUUUGAGAGUCAAUUGACUACGAGUCAUCGCGGUAGCUCGGGGUUCGAUUCCCCGUAUCCGAA